rnacentral:rRNA from 1 species
GAUGAACGCUGGCGGCGUGCCUAAUACAUGCAAGUCGAGCGAACGGACGAGAAGCUUGCUUCUCUGAUGUUAGCGGCGGACGGGUGAGUAACACGUGGAUAACCUACCUAUAAGACUGGGAUAACUUCGGGAAACCGGAGCUAAUACCGGAUAAUAUUUUGAACCGCAUGGUUCAAAAGUGAAAGACGGUCUUGCUGUCACUUAUAGAUGGAUCCGCGCUGCAUUAGCUAGUUGGUAAGGUAACGGCUUACCAAGGCAACGAUGCAUAGCCGACCUGAGAGGGUGAUCGGCCACACUGGAACUGAGACACGGUCCAGACUCCUACGGGAGGCAGCAGUAGGGAAUCUUCCGCAAUGGGCGAAAGCCUGACGGAGCAACGCCGCGUGAGUGAUGAAGGUCUUCGGAUCGUAAAACUCUGUUAUUAGGGAAGAACAUAUGUGUAAGUAACUGUGCACAUCUUGACGGUACCUAAUCAGAAAGCCACGGCUAACUACGUGCCAGCAGCCGCGGUAAUACGUAGGUGGCAAGCGUUAUCCGGAAUUAUUGGGCGUAAAGCGCGCGUAGGCGGUUUUUUAAGUCUGAUGUGAAAGCCCACGGCUCAACCGUGGAGGGUCAUUGGAAACUGGAAAACUUGAGUGCAGAAGAGGAAAGUGGAAUUCCAUGUGUAGCGGUGAAAUGCGCAGAGAUAUGGAGGAACACCAGUGGCGAAGGCGACUUUCUGGUCUGUAACUGACGCUGAUGUGCGAAAGCGUGGGGAUCAAACAGGAUUAGAUACCCUGGUAGUCCACGCCGUAAACGAUGAGUGCUAAGUGUUAGGGGGUUUCCGCCCCUUAGUGCUGCAGCUAACGCAUUAAGCACUCCGCCUGGGGAGUACGACCGCAAGGUUGAAACUCAAAGGAAUUGACGGGGACCCGCACAAGCGGUGGAGCAUGUGGUUUAAUUCGAAGCAACGCGAAGAACCUUACCAAAUCUUGACAUCCUUUGACAACUCUAGAGAUAGAGCUUUCCCCUUCGGGGAACAAAGUGACAGGUGGUGCAUGGUUGUCGUCAGCUCGUGUCGUGAGAUGUUGGGUUAAGUCCCGCAACGAGCGCAACCCUUAAGCUUAGUUGCCAUCAUUAAGUUGGGCACUCUAAGUUGACUGCCGGUGACAAACCGGAGGAAGGUGGGGAUGACGUCAAAUCAUCAUGCCCCUUAUGAUUUGGGCUACACACGUGCUACAAUGGACAAUACAAAGGGCAGCGAAACCGUGAGGUCAAGCAAAUCCCAUAAAGUUGUUCUCAGUUCGGAUUGUAGUCUGCAACUCGACUACAUGAAGCUGGAAUCGCUAGUAAUCGUAGAUCAGCAUGCUACGGUGAAUACGUUCCCGGGUC